GAUGAACGCUGGCGGCGUGCCUAAUACAUGCAAGUCGAGCGAACGGACGAGGAGCUUGCUUCUCUGAUGUUAGCGGCGGACGGGUGAGUAACACGUGGAUAACCUACCUAUAAGACUGGGAUAACUUCAGGAAACCGGAGCUAAUACCGGAUAAUAUUUUGAACCGCAUGGUUCAAAAGUAAAAGACGGUCUUGCUGUCACUUAUAGAUGGAUCCGCGCUGCAUUAGCUAGUUGGUAAGGUAACGGCUUACCAAGGCAACGAUGCAUAGCCGACCUGAGAGGGUGAUCGGCCACACUGGAACUGAGACACGGUCCAGACUCCUACGGGAGGCAGCAGUAGGGAAUCUUCCGCAAUGGGCGAAAGCCUGACGGAGCAACGCCGCGUGAGUGAUGAAGGUCUUCGGAUCGUAAAACUCUGUUAUUAGGGAAGAACAUAUGUGUAAGUAACUGUGCACAUCUUGACGGUACCUAAUCAGAAAGCCACGGCUAACUACGUG
rnacentral:rRNA from 1 species